AUUGAACGCUGGCGGCAGGCCUAACACAUGCAAGUCGAACGGUAGCACAGAGAGCUUGCUCUCGGGUGACGAGUGGCGGACGGGUGAGUAACGUCUGGGAAACUGCCCGAUGGAGGGGGAUAACUACUGGAAACGGUAGCUAAUACCGCAUAACGUCGCAAGACCAAAGUGGGGGACCUUCGGGCCUCACACCAUCGGAUGUGCCCAGAUGGGAUUAGCUAGUAGGUGGGGUAAUGGCUCACCUAGGCGACGAUCCCUAGCUGGUCUGAGAGGAUGACAAGCCACACUGGAACUGAGACACGGUCCAGACUCCUACGGGAGGCAGCAGUGGGGAAUAUUGCACAAUGGGCGCAAGCCUGAUGCAGCCAUGCCGCGUGUAUGAAGAAGGCCUUCGGGUUGUAAAGUACUUUCAGCGGGGAGGAAGGCGGUGGAGUUAAUAACUUCACCGAUUGACGUUACCCGCAGAAGAAGCACCGGCUAACUCCGUGCCAGCCGCCGCAGUAA
rnacentral:rRNA from 1 species